CAGCCGCCGCGGUAAUACCGGCGGCCCGAGUGGCGGCCACUAUUAUUGGGCUUAAAGCGUCCGUAGCCGGGUUGGUUAGUCUCCCGGGAAAUCUGGCCGCUUAACGGUCAGAAUUCCGGGAGAUACUGCCAGCCUAGGGACCGGGAGAGGCCGAGGGUAUUCCCGGAGUAGGGGUGAAAUCCUAUAAUCCCGGGAGGACCACCUGUGGCGAAGGCGCUCGGCUGGAACGGGUCCGACGGUGAGGGACAAAGGCCAGGGGAGCAAACCGGAUUAGAUACCCGGGUAGUCCUGGCUGUAAACGAUGCGGACUUUGUGUCGGACAAGCUAUGAGCUUGUCCGGUGCCGGAGGGAAACCGUUAAGUCCGCCGCCUGGGGAGUACGGCCGCAAGGCUGAAACUUAAAGGAAUUGGCGGG
rnacentral:rRNA from 1 species